rnacentral:rRNA from 1 species
GACGAACGCUGGCGGCGUGCUUAACACAUGCAAGUCGAGCGGAAAGGCCACUUCGGUGGUACUCGAGCGGCGAACGGGUGAGUAACACGUGAGUAAUCUGCCCUUCACUCUGGGAUAGCCACCGGAAACGGUGAUUAAUACCGGAUACGACCACUCCACGCAUGUGGUGGUGGUGGAAAUUUUUUGGGUGGGGGAUGUGCUCGCGGCCUAUCAGCUUGUUGGUGGGGUAAUGGCCUACCAAGGCUUCGACGGGUAGCCGGCCUGAGAGGGUGACCGGCCACACUGGGACUGAGACACGGCCCAGACUCCUACGGGAGGCAGCGGUGGGGAAUAUUGGACAAUGGGCGGAAGCCUGAUCCAGCAACGCCGCGUGAGGGAUGACGGCCUUCGGGUUGUAAACCUCUUUCAGCACCGACGAAGCGCAAGUGACGGUAGGUGCAGAAGAAGGACCGGCCAACUACGUGCCAGCCGCCGCGGUAAAAC